UUUCACUCCUCCGAACUUUUUUUUUCUUUUAAUUAAACAUUUUGAAAAAAUGUACAAGAUCACGUGGCAUGUAGAUACAUGAAGAAAUUAAGUCUUACAGGUUUACACUCCUCCGAACUUGUAAAACCAUUUGGAGAUUUCCUGAAAAUAAGGUGCAAGAAAUGGCGUCUCAGCAGAGCCUGAUGAGAAUCUGAUACUGAUCUGUAUCGUUAAACUGUGAAAACUGGUCAGAGGUUGUGAAAUGUAAAUUCUGCAUAACUUUGGACAGGGAGGAGAACAACGAGGGAGGGAAGGAGGAAAUUAAUGGGGAGGCCAGACAUUUAUGUGGCACCCUGAGCUCAUCUGAGGAAUGGAAAGAACGAAGAGUCUCCACCCACCAGUCGUCCUUCCAUCUCGUCCUUCAUCACAGAGUUUCACAAGAAACUGAGCUUCUAAAGCCAGAACUGAUGUUUGGAGGCUUAGAGACAACAUUUGAGCUUAAAAUGAGUUUUUAACAGCUUUUACUGAACUAGUUAUUUCACUAGAAACUGAGAAUUAAAGGGAUGAAAAUGAUUAAUAAUCUUAAACUACUCUAGCAUUGAGCUGAAAAGAAUAGCCAUAAAAUUCCACGUUGUUUCUCAGAUAGGUGAGUUUUAAAAAUAUUAUUUAAUUUCAACUAUAUAUAUAUUCUAUUAAUGUUUUUUUUCUGGUUAUGCAGCCAUGCUGUUUUUGAAAGCAUCAGCGCUUUCUGUUAGCCAUUUCCCCAAUUAGUAAAAGGUAUGCUGCCAAACAGACGCACAAACAUAUUUUUAUUUUUAAAGUACUUAUUUUUGUGUCUGAAAAAUGAAAGUUGAAAAUCUUUGAACUUUUACUCACUGACACAAGCAGUGGUCUUGGUUAUUAAAAUGGAGAGGAAGCCGUUACGGCUGCACCUAUAAUAAUAAAAUGAAAAAACACUCAGAUUCCCUGAGUUUCUGUUCGGUGUGGAAAUAUAAAGUUAAAAAGUCAUAUUUACAUAAAACCUUCCAUUUAGUUGCUGCAGAUUAUUUUUACACUGUAU